AUGGCUACGGAAAGUUCAAAAGAAAAAAUACCCCUUGAGUCUGCGAGAGCGGGGGCGGAAGAUGACUCGUCGGUGGAUCACACGGUAACAGACCCUGGAAUGGAAACGACUAUGAAUCAAAUGUUCAGCACGGGAGUUGAUGGAGUAACAGUACUGGCAGGACACAAGCUUCAAAGCUGCAUCUGUGGCUGGAAAAAGAUAACAUCAGAGAAGGGUCUCAAGAUCCACCAGGGCAGAAAAAAGUGCCUGAGAGAGCCUAGCGAGGGGCCUCGCAUUGACCACUACUUUCUCAGAGGUAGGGCAAAUCAGUCGAGUGAAGCCCAGUGGCAGGAUAUUCACCACAGUCCACAGGGUAUCAGAACCCCAGACGAAGUUCAACCAAGCACAGAGCCACCAACGGACAUGAGUCCGGAGCCCAUCCAGCCACAGACAGCAGUAGAGAGGAAGAUGAAUGGACGGAAGCCUCAAAUCUUGUGGCCUAAAUCCUGCCAGAAAAAGGAGUGGGAAACCACAGACACAGACCUCGUCCAUCUUCUAGAAGGUCUGAAAGGGGGUGUGGAAAGAAAGCUGGACAAGAUUGGAGAGAUCAUUUACAGCUAUGGAGCAGUGAGAUUUGGGGUGAAAAGUACAACCCCAAACCUUGGGACACAGAAGAACCCAUCAGACAAUCUCAAAUCUAGAAGACAACAAGAGAUUGAGCGAUUGGUGAAAGAAAGAAGGAAUUUGAGAAAACAAUGGAGGAAGGCCACAGAAGUGGAAAGGAAAGGACUUGAGCCACUACAGGGAGACAUCAAGCAGCGAAUUGCAACACUGCGAAGAGCAGAAUGUCUUAGAAAGCAGUAUAAGAAGAAGGAACGAACGAGGACUGCCUUCUACAAAGAUCCCUAUAAGUUCGUCAAAUACCUCUUUGUCAAGGAGAAAACUGGGACCCUCAAAGUACCCUUAAGAGAACUAGAGAAACACCUGAGGAAGACUUACUCUGACAAUCAGAGGUUUGUGCCAGCCCGCAUCCCGGAUGAUAUGCCGCCAAUUCAACCACCUGAGCACCAGCUGGAAGCAAGACCUCCAACUUGGAGCGAAGUGAGGAGCACAGUAAAGCGGGCAAGAACAGCCUCAGCCCCUGGGCCCAAUGGCGUUCCAUAUAGGUUCUAUAAGAACGCGCCAGGCGUCUUGAAGUACCUC
rnacentral:lncRNA from 1 species